UACGUAGGGGCAAGCGUUGUCCGGAAUCAUUGGCGUAAAGCGCGUGUAGGCGGCUUGGUAAGUCUGCUCUGAAAGCCCGGGGCUCAACCCCGGGGAGGCGGGUGGAUACUGCCGGGCUUGAAUCGGAAGAGGCGAGUGGAAUUCCUGGUGUAGCGGUGGAAUGCGCAGAUAUCAGGAGGAACACCAAUAGCGAAGGCAGCUCGCUGGGACGGUAUUGACGCUAAGGCGCGAAAGCGUGGGAGCAACAG
rnacentral:rRNA from 1 species